ACGGCUCAGUAACACGUAGUUAACCUAACCCAUGGACGGGGAUAACCUCGGGAAACUGAGAAUAAUCCCCGAUAGGCCACUAUGCCUGGAAUGGUUUGUGGUUGAAAUGAUUUAUCGCCGUAGGAUGGGACUGCGGCCUAUCAGCUAGUUGGUGAGGUAAUGGCCCACCAAGGCUAUAACAGGUACGGGCUCUGAGAGGAGGGGCCCGGAGAUGGGUACUGAGACACGGACCCAGGCCCUAUGGGGCGCAGCAGGCGAGAAACCUUUGCAAUGUGCGAAAGCACGACAAGGUUAAUCCGAGUGUCUUCUGCUAAAGAAGUCUUUUGUUAGUCAUAGAACCACUGAUGAAUAAGGGGUGGGCAAGUUCUGGUGUCUGCCGCCGCGGUAAAACCAGCACCUCGAGUGGUCAGGAGGUUUAUUGGGCCUAAAGCAUCCGUAGCCGGUUGUUUAAGUUUUCGGUUAAAUCCCAUGCGCUUAACGUAUGGGCUGCCGAAAAUACUGGACAGCUAGGGAGUGGGAGAGGUACACGGUACUCAAUAGGAAGGGGUAAAAUCCUUUGAUCUGUUGAUGACCACCUGUGGCGAAGGCGGUGUACCAGAGCACGUUCGACGGUGAGGGAUGAAAGCUGGGGGAGCAAACCGGAUUAGAUACCCGGGUAGUCCCAGCUGUAAACGAUGCAAACUCGGUGAUGCAUUGGCUUGUGGCCAAUGCAGUGCCGCAGGGAAGCCGUUAAGUUUGCCGCCUGGGGAGUACGUACGCAAGUAUGAAACUUAAAGGAAUUGGCGGGGGAGCACCACCAGGGGUGGAGGCUGCGGUUUAAUUGGAUUCAACGCCAGGAACCUUACCCGGGAAGACAGCAGGAUGACGGUCACUCUAAAGGGGUUACCUUGUUACGACUUUCCGGCGGGAUCAACC
rnacentral:rRNA from 1 species